CCCUAGGCCACGCCUGUGGGUUUCGUGAAUGAGAUCGAGGCUGCUGUGGCACGGCCUCCCUGGUGUCCCGCCCUCCCCCAGCGGCCCUCAGGCUUUUCUCAGACAUGCGGGAGCCAGGAGGGCACCCUUCUCCACUCAGCUCCAAAGCGAAUCUUUGAAAACACCCACUCGGCUCCCAUCUCUGUCACCUAGCCAGGAGGGGUAGCAAAAAUAAAGUCACGAGGACAUAGUGGUCACCAUUGUCAGUUACAACUUGUCUGUGGAAUCCGUAAUUGCAUCUGUGUGCCGCCUCCGAACACAGAACAUUGUUUGGACGGCAGCCCCACUGCACAUAACAGACCCAUGCAUCUUCCUCAGUCAGUUUCUGAAUAUUGUGAAUUCAGGCAGGUGUGUGUUCUCUUCUGCAUGUUUUUAUGCACUGCCAAUUAGCUUCUACUAACCAUGGUUCAACAGAAAAUAAAUGUGUAUUUGUGAAUAACAAACUGCACAACCUGCAAACCAGGAGAGAGGAACAGGUUCUGUCAGGGGUGACACCAGGACACAGGGACAGGUUCUGUCAGGGGUGACACCAGGACACAGGGACAGGUUCUGUCAUGGGUGACACGAGGACACAGGGACAGGUUCUAUCAUGGGUGACACCAGGAGAGAGGGACAGGUUCUGUUGGGGUGACACCAGGAGAGAGGGACAGGUUCUGUUGGGGUGACACCAGGAGAGAGGGACAGGUUCUGUUGGGGGUGACAAGAGGAGACAGGGACAGGUUCUGUCGGGGGUGACACCAGGAGAGAGGGACAGGUUCUGUCGGGGGUGACACCAGGAGAGAGGGACAGGUUGUCGGGUGACACCAGGAGAGAGGGACAGGUUCUGUUGGUGACACCAGGACACAGGAAUAGGUUCUGUCGGGAGGACAGUGCUGAUCGUGUCUCAGCAUCAGGAAAGGAGAAAGGCAGAGGGAGAGCACUGAGAAGACUGUUCACGCCAGAGUGCUUAUUUAUUUUUAAUUUACUGCUAUAGGAUAAGCAACCAGGUAGUGUUCCUAACAGUUAGCGUUACCAAAAUUAAAGUUCAAAUUAUAUGUUUAAAAUAUUGUAGAAGAUAUAUAUUUAUACUGGACUACUUUUACACCUUCUAAUAUCCUGUCCAAGUUUGGGCGCAGAUGGUGGAGUUGGGCUGGCAUCAUGUCCUGUGGCCGCCCCACUUGCCUUUUGGUGCCACUCCAUCCCGGGCCCCAGGGAUGCCAGCUCAGGGCUGACCACAGCAGCCCUGCGUGGGCAUCACCUCCUACCCCAGCCCCCAUCCUGGGCUGCUGCGGCCGCCUGCUUUUGUGAAUGGUGUUUUGUUGGCACAGGGCCUGUCCUGUGUUUUCACACAGGCCUGUGGCUCCUGCUGUACAAGUGGAGGGGGGAGGAGUUGAGAUGGAGACGCCUUGGCCCUGGACACUUACCUGUCCCUCUACUGGCCCAGCUCAUCUCCUCCUGUGGGCAAUCACGCGUGCACUGGCCACCCUCCCACGCCACAGCACACACCACGAGGGGAUGGCACAGGGGGAAGAUGAGGCUGGACCAUGAUGUUAUCAAUAGGCUAGAACGUCCUUCAAACACUGAACCUGCAUCUUUCCUCCUCUUACUACUGAACACUUUGUGAGCUCUGGUGGUCCAGGGUGCAGCGUUUGUCCCCGGGCAUGUGAUGGGGAGUCCUGGGCACAUCGAGAUGCUUUACUUCUUUCUUUCGACCUCUUAAAAAACUAAACCAAGCCAAACCACAAAGGAAAUCUGCACAACUUAAGAGAAACUUGAAAGGGAUCGUGUAACUACUAGUUUGUACUAAGUUUUUUUCAAGAAAGGGAAACAAAUUUAUAUAUAUAUAUAUAUGUGCAAUAUAUUUUUACACUGUGUGAUUAACAUUAGGGAGUACUGAGUGCAUCACUUUAUCAGUGUGACGGGUGAUGUCCACGUCAUGGCUGUUCUGACUCUGAAAGCCACUUCUGCUGAUGUUUAAACCGCACUCACCGCGGACGUCCGCAGGGUGGGGUGGCCCUGCUGUCCCUCCUGCAGGUGAGAGGCGUGGUGUUGCCUGUUGGACUUGCUGUUGAGCCUGGCUUGCAAACCUGUAGUGAAACAGCUCGUGUCUGUGUGCACACUGCCCCUGUGUCUGCUGUCGUUAACAUUGUGUGUCAAGUUGGUAAAGUGACAAAUAAAGGUGUUAAAACAUGGA
rnacentral:lncRNA from 1 species